CCAGUCAGAACAGUACCAUUAUAUGAACAGAACAAAAGGCACACUUGGAUAAAUUGCAUGAUACAGUGACUUUUAGGGUAAAUUUCACUAGUUUCCAGUAAUUUAUAAGACAGCCUACCUUUGAGUUUCAGAAAGGUAAUGGCUACCCUACACCCAAGCCAUAUGUAAAGAUAGAUAAACACACUUCAGGAGAGCUGCUUUUUAAAUCUUGAAAGGAUGCCUGUAAUUUCAUUAUAUUACAGGAGAGGUUUGUAAUUUAACCUUGUAAUAAAGGCGAGAAAAUUUAAGUCAAGUUUUAUUUCAAAUUCCUAUUCGAAUUUGGUUUCUUAUUUUAGAGUUUUCUAUUUGUGACUUGACUUGGUAAAUAAGUACAAAGUUUUCUCCCUUGUUCUACAAGGAGUACUUGACAUGAAAACUCUAUGAAUAGAGACUACCAGUAAGAAUUUGAUGACCCAAGAGUAACAUCAUGUUGAGGCUGAAAGAUGUACACAUUCUAAAAGGCACGUUGAGAUCUAUCAUUAUGGUGGUAUUAGUUGCAAUGUUAUCGUGGUAGAUGACUGUUGUAUGACAAACUUGAAAGUUAUGGGUAUUUGGGUUUUUGAGAGAGACGCAUCAUAAACAGUGUUGAUAAGGGACGAUGUCAGGUAUAUGCCAAUCAAUGCAUCCAAUAUCAGAAAAGUCAAUAAACAAGCUUCAAAAGAAACGUCCAACUAGUAUAUGGCGUUUGGAAGGCCACAGCCUUAUUAUAACAGCGUCAAACUCUAAAGACAUGGGUAAAACUUGCAUGUGUAAAAGAAGUUAAAAUGCUAAUGCUCAUGCUUUAUUAAGGCUCUUGACCCCAAGUGCUAAAUUGAGUAACUU
rnacentral:misc_RNA from 1 species